rnacentral:lncRNA from 1 species
UUUAUAUCACAAAAAUAGCACUCAAAAACUAAAAUGACUAAAAUAGCACAUUUCUAAGUUUAUCCUAUGAAAAUUUUAAUUUUUUUAUUUUUCAAAAUUUGAAAUCUUAUCUCCAAAACCUCAUUUCUCAACUCUAAACCCUAAACCCUAAACUCUAAACCCUAAACCUUAAACUCUAAACCCUAAACCCUAAACCCUAGACUCUAAACCCUAAACCCUAAACCCUAGAUCCUAAACCCUAAACUCUAAACACUAAACCCUAAACUCUAAACCCUAAACCCUAAACCCUAAAUCCUAAACC